GGGUUGUGAGGUUAAGCGACUAAGCGUACACGGUGGAUGCCCUGGCAGUCAGAGGCGAUGAAGGACGUGCUAAUCUGCGAUAAGCGCCGGUAAGGUGAUAUGAACCGUUAUAACCGGCGAUACCCGAAUGGGGAAACCCAGUGUGAUUCGUCACACUAUCAUUAACUGAAUCCAUAGGUUAAUGAGGCGAACCGGGGGAACUGAAACAUCUAAGUACCCCGAGGAAAAGAAAUCAACCGAGAUUCCCCCAGUAGCGGCGAGCGAACGGGGAGGAGCCCAGAGCCUGAAUCAGCAUGUGUGUUAGUGGAAGCGUCUGGAAAGGCGCGCGAUACAGGGUGACAGCCCCGUACACAAAAGCGCAUGUGCUGUGAGCUCGAUGAGUAGGGCGGGACACGUGGUAUCCUGUCUGAAUAUGGGGGGACCAUCCUCCAAGGCUAAAUACUCCUGACUGACCGAUAGUGAACCAGUACCGUGAGGGAAAGGCGAAAAGAACCCCGGCGAGGGGAGUGAAAAAGAACCUGAAACCGUGUACGUACAAGCAGUGGGAGCACAGGUUUACCUGUGUGACUGCGUACCUUUUGUAUAAUGGGUCAGCGACUUAUAUUCUGUAGCAAGGUUAACCGUAUAGGGGAGCCGGAGGGAAACCGAGUCUUAAUUGGGCGUUAAGUUGCAGGGUAUAGACCCGAAACCCGGUGAUCUAGCCAUGGGCAGGUUGAAGGUUGGGUAACACUAACUGGAGGACCGAACCGACUAAUGUUGAAAAAUUAGCGGAUGACCUGUGGCUGGGGGUGAAAGGCCAAUCAAACCGGGAGAUAGCUGGUUCUCCCCGAAAGCUAUUUAGGUAGCGCCUCGUGAAUUCAUCUCCGGGGGUAGAGCACUGUUUCGGCUAGGGGGCCAUCCCGGCUUACCAACCCGAUGCAAACUGCGAAUACCGGAGAAUGUUAUCACGGGAGACACACGGCGGGUGCUAACGUCCGUCGUGAAGAGGGAAACAACCCAGACCGCCAGCUAAGGUCCCAAAGUCAUGGUUAAGUGGGAAACGAUGUGGGAAGGCCCAGACAGCCAGGAUGUUGGCUUAGAAGCAGCCAUCAUUUAAAGAAAGCGUAAUAGCUCACUGGUCGAGUCGGCCUGCGCGGAAGAUGUAACGGGGCUAAACCAUGCACCGAAGCUGCGGCAGCGAACGUAUCACCCAAGACAACUUUACGGAGUUGACGAUUGACGGAGCGAAGCGACGUCAAAGCGUUCAUUAAAGUCGAGUUGGCUUAGGGAUACGUUCGUUGGGUAGGGGAGCGUUCUGUAAGCCUGUGAAGGUGUGUCGUGAGGCAUGCUGGAGGUAUCAGAAGUGCGAAUGCUGACAUAAGUAACGAUAAAGCGGGUGAAAAGCCCGCUCGCCGGAAGACCAAGGGUUCCUGUCCAACGUUAAUCGGGGCAGGGUGAGUCGACCCCUAAGGCGAGGCCGAAAGGCGUAGUCGAUGGGAAACGGGUUAAUAUUCCCGUACUUGGUGUUACUGCGAAGGGGGGACGGAGAAGGCUAUGUUGGCCGGGCGACGGUUGUCCCGGUUUAAGCGUGUAGGUGUGUGUUCCAGGUAAAUCCGGUUCACUUUAACACUGAGGCGUGACGACGAGGCACUACGGUGCUGAAGCAACAAAUGCCCUGCUUCCAGGAAAAGCCUCUAAGCAUCAGGUAACACGAAAUCGUACCCCAAACCGACACAGGUGGUCAGGUAGAGAAUACCAAGGCGCUUGAGAGAACUCGGGUGAAGGAACUAGGCAAAAUGGUGCCGUAACUUCGGGAGAAGGCACGCUGACACGUAGGUGAAGUGAUUUACUCAUGGAGCUGAAGUCAGUCGAAGAUACCAGCUGGCUGCAACUGUUUAUUAAAAACACAGCACUGUGCAAACACGAAAGUGGACGUAUACGGUGUGACGCCUGCCCGGUGCCGGAAGGUUAAUUGAUGGGGUCAGCGCAAGCGAAGCUCCUGAUCGAAGCCCCGGUAAACGGCGGCCGUAACUAUAACGGUCCUAAGGUAGCGAAAUUCCUUGUCGGGUAAGUUCCGACCUGCACGAAUGGCGUAAUGAUGGCCAGGCUGUCUCCACCCGAGACUCAGUGAAAUUGAACUCGCUGUGAAGAUGCAGUGUACCCGCGGCAAGACGGAAAGACCCCGUGAACCUUUACUAUAGCUUGACACUGAACAUUGAGCCUUGAUGUGUAGGAUAGGUGGGAGGCUUUGAAGUGUGGACGCCAGUCUGCAUGGAGCCGACCUUGAAAUACCACCCUUUAAUGUUUGAUGUUCUAACGUGGACCCGUAAUCCGGGUUGCGGACAGUGUCUGGUGGGUAGUUUGACUGGGGCGGUCUCCUCCUAAAGAGUAACGGAGGAGCACGAAGGUUGGCUAAUCCUGGUCGGACAUCAGGAGGUUAGUGCAAUGGCAUAAGCCAGCUUGACUGCGAGCGUGACGGCGCGAGCAGGUGCGAAAGCAGGUCAUAGUGAUCCGGUGGUUCUGAAUGGAAGGGCCAUCGCUCAACGGAUAAAAGGUACUCCGGGGAUAACAGGCUGAUACCGCCCAAGAGUUCAUAUCGACGGCGGUGUUUGGCACCUCGAUGUCGGCUCAUCACAUCCUGGGGCUGAAGUAGGUCCCAAGGGUAUGGCUGUUCGCCAUUUAAAGUGGUACGCGAGCUGGGUUUAGAACGUCGUGAGACAGUUCGGUCCCUAUCUGCCGUGGGCGCUGGAGAACUGAGGGGGGCUGCUCCUAGUACGAGAGGACCGGAGUGGACGCAUCACUGGUGUUCGGGUUGUCAUGCCAAUGGCACUGCCCGGUAGCUAAAUGCGGAAGAGAUAAGUGCUGAAAGCAUCUAAGCACGAAACUUGCCCCGAGAUGAGUUCUCCCUGAGACUUAGAGUCUCCUGAAGGAACGUUGAAGACGACGACGUUGAUAGGCCGGGUGUGUAAGCGCAGCGAUGCGUUGAGCUAACCGGUACUAAUGAACCGUGAGGCUUAACCUUACAACGCCGAAG
rnacentral:rRNA from 2 species